AUUGAACGCUGGCGGCAGGCCUAACACAUGCAAGUCGAACGAGUGGCGGACGGGUGAGUAAUGUCUGGGAAACUGCCUGAUGGAGGGGGAUAACUACUGGAAACGGUAGCUAAUACCGCAUACCAUCGGAUGUGCCCAGAUGGGAUUAGCUGGUAGGGGGGGUAAAGGCUCACCUAGGCGACGAUCCCUAGCUGGUCUGAGAGGAUGACCAACCACGCAGGUGCAAAAAGGCCGUCAAGCCUCCUGCGGGAGGCAGCGGGGAAGAUUGUUGCACGGGGGGCACAAGCCUGAAGCAGCCCGGCGGGGUGGAAGAAGGAGUCCUUCGGGUAAUAGAGUGCUUUCAGGGAGGCGUUACCCGCAGAAGAAGCACCGGCUAACUCCGUGCCAGCAGCCGCGGUAAUAC
rnacentral:rRNA from 1 species